rnacentral:rRNA from 1 species
AACGAACGCUGGCGGCAUGCUUAACACAUGCAAGUCGAACGAGACCUUCGUGCCUAGUGGCGCACGGGUGCGUAACGCGUGGGAACUUGCCCUUAGGUUCGGAAUAACUCCCCGUAAGGGGUGUUAAUACCGGAUAAUGUCUUCGGACCAAAGAUUUAUCGCUUUUGGCUGGGCCCGGGUUGGCUUGGCUAGUUGGUAGGGUAAUAGCCUACCAAGGCGACGAUGCAUAGCUGGUCUGAGAGGAUGAUCAGCCACGCUGGAACUGAGACACGGCCCAGACUGCUAGGGGGGAGAGCGGAAGGGAGUAUAAGGGGAUGAGGCAAGACCUAGUCAAGCAGUGCCGGGUAAGAGGUGAUGGGGUUAGGGUUGUGAAGCUGCUUUACACGGAGUGAUAGUGACGGUAACGGGUAAAUAAGCUCCGGCUAACUACGUG